rnacentral:rRNA from 1 species
UACGUAGGGUGCGAGCGUUACUCGGAAUUACUGGGCGUAAAGCGUGCGCAGGCUGUUUUGUAAGUCAGAUGUGAAAUCCCCGAGCUCAACUUGGGAACUGCGUUUGAAACUACAAGACUAGAAUAUGUCAGAGGGGGGUAGAAUUCCACGUGUAGCAGUGAAAUGCGUAGAGAUGUGGAGGAAUAUCAAUGGCGAAGGCAGCCCCCUGGGAUAAUAUUGACGCUCAUGCACGAAAGCGUGGGGAGCAAACAGG